rnacentral:rRNA from 1 species
UGCAAGUCGAACGAUGAAACUUAAAUGAUUUCUUCGGAAUGAACUUAAGUGGAUUAGUGGCGGACGGGUGAGUAACGCGUGAGUAACCUGCCUUACACAAGGGGAUAGCCGUUGGAAACGACGAAUAAUACCCUAUAAAACUAUCACUUCGCAUGAAGCGAUAGUCAAAGUGUUAGCGGUGUAAGAUGGACUUGCGUCUGAUUAGCUAGUUGGUGAGAAAAAAGCCCACCAAGGCAACGAUCAGUAGCCGGCUUGAGAGAGUGUACGGCCACAUUGGGACUGAGACACGGCCCAGACUCCUACGGGAGGCAGCAGUGGGGAAUUUUGCACAAUGGGGGAAACCCUGAUGCAGCGACGCCGCGUGAUUUAGAAGGCCUUCGGGUUGUAAAAAUCUUUUGUAUAGGAAGAAAAUGACAGUACUAUACGAAUAAGGUCCGGCUAAUUACGUGCCAGCAGCCGCGGUAAUACGUAAGGACCGAGCGUUGUCCGGAAUCAUUGGGCGUAAAGGGUACGUAGGCGGGUUUUUAAGUUAGAAGUCAAAGGCUAUAGCUCAACUAUAGUAAGCUUCUAAAACUGGAAACCUUGAGAGAUGGAAGGGAAAGUGGAAUUCCUAGUGUAGCGGUGGAAUGCGCAGAUAUUAGGAGGAAUACCGGUGGCGAAGGCGACUUUCUGGCCAUUUUCUGACGCUGAGGUACGAAAGCGUGGGUAGCAAACAGGAUUAAAAUACCCUGGUAGUCCACGCCGUAAACGAUGAGUGUUAGGUGUCUGGAGUAAAUCUGGGUGCCGCAGCUAACGCAUUAAACACUCCGCCU